UAGGGAAUCUUCGGCAAUGGGGGCAACCCUGACCGAGCAACGCCGCGUGAGUGAAGAAGGUUUUCGGAUCGUAAAGCUCUGUUGUAAGAGAAGAACGUGUGUGAGAGUGGAAAGUUCACACAGUGACGGUAACUUACCAGAAAGGGACGGCUAACUACGUGCCAGCAGCCGCGGUAAUACGUAGGUCCCGAGCGUUGUCCGGAUUUAUUGGGCGUAAAGCGAGCGCAGGCGGUUUAAUAAGUCUGAAGUUAAAGGCAGUGGCUUAACCAUUGUUCGCUUUGGAAACUGUUAAACUUGAGUGCAGGAGGGGAGAGUGGAAUUCCAUGUGUAGCGGUGAAAUGCGUAGAUAUAUGGGGGAACACCGGUGGCGAAAGCGGCUCUCUGGUCUGUAACUGACGCUGAGGCUCGAAAGCGUGGGGGGCAAACAGG
rnacentral:rRNA from 1 species